rnacentral:rRNA from 1 species
UUAUAAGAGACAGCAGUCGCCACGGGAAUACAGAGGGUGCGAGCGUUAAUCGGAUUUACUGGGCGUAAAGCGUGCGUAGGCGGCUUCUUAAGUCGGAUGUGAAAUCCCUGAGCUUAACUUAGGAAUUGCAUUCGAUACUGGGAAGCUAGAGUAUGGGAGAGGAUGGUAGAAUUCCAGGUGUAGCGGUGAAAUGCGUAGAGAUCUGGAGGAAUACCGAUGGCGAAGGCAGCCAUCUGGCCUAAUACUGACGCUGAGGUACGAAAGCAUGGGGAGCAAACAGGAUUAGAUACCCCAGUAGUCCCUGUCUCUUAUAC